GACGAACGCUGGCGGCGUGCUUAACACAUGCAAGUCGAACGGAAAGGCCCUGCUUGCAGGGUACUCGAGUGGCGAACGGGUGAGUAACACGUGGGUGAUCUGCCCUGCACUUCGGGAUAAGCCUGGGGAACUGGGUCUAAUACCGGAUAGGAGCCAUUUUUAGUGUGAUGGUUGGAAAGUUUUUUCGGUGUAGGAUGAGCUCGCGGCCUAUCAGCUUGUUGGUGGGGUAAUGGCCUACCAAGGCGGCGACGGGUAGCCGGCCUGAGAGGGUGGACGGCCACAUUGGGACUGAGAUACGGCCCAGACUCCUACGGGAGGCAGCAGUGGGGAAUAUUGCACAAUGGGCGCAAGCCUGAUGCAGCGACGCCGCGUGGGGGAUGACGGCCUUCGGGUUGUAAACUCCUUUCGCUAGGGACGAAGCUUUUUGUGACGGUACCUAGAGAAGAAGCACCGGCUAACUACGUG
rnacentral:rRNA from 1 species